CAUGGCUCAGGACGAACGCUGGCGGCGUGCGUAACACAUGCAAGUCGAACGAGAGAGUGAGAGAAGCUUGCUUUUCUUAUGAUCGAGUGGCAAACGGGUGAGUAACGCGUAAACAACCUGCCCCGCAGAUGGGGACAACAGCUGGAAACGGCUGCUAAUACCGAAUACGCUCCUCUUAGCGCAUGGUAAGAGGAAGAAAGGGUGGCCUCUGGAACAAGCUACCGCUGUGGGAGGGGUUUGCGUCUGAUUAGCUGGUUGGAGGGGUAACGGCCCACCAAGGCGACGAUCAGUAGCCGGUCUGAGAGGAUGAACGGCCACAUUGGAACUGAGACACGGUCCAGACUCCUACGG
rnacentral:rRNA from 1 species